rnacentral:rRNA from 1 species
AUUGAACGCUGGCGGCAGGCCUAACACAUGCAAGUCGAGCGGAGCGGCGGACGGGUGAGUAAUGCCUAGGAAUCUGCCCGGUAGUGGGGGAUAACGUCAGGAAACGGGCGCUAAUAUCGCAUACUAUCAGAUGAGACUAGGUCGGAUUAGCUAGUUGGAGGGGUAAAGGCCUACCAAGGCGACGAUCCGUAACUGGUCUGAGAGGAUGAUCAGUCACACUGGAACUGAGACACGGUCCAGACUCCUACGGGAGGCAGUAGUGGGGAAUAUUCGACAAUGGGCGAAAGCCUGAUCCAGCCAUGCCGCGUGAGUGAAGAAGGUCUUCGGAUUGUAAAGCACUGUUAGUAGGGAGGCGUUACCUACAGAGAAAGCACCGGCUAACUUCGUGCCAGCAGCCGCGGUAAUAC